rnacentral:rRNA from 1 species
UACAGAGGUGCCGAGCGUUAGGCGGAAUCACUGGGCUUAAAGCGUGUGUAGGCGGAUCGUUAAGUGCCUUGUGAAAUCCCACGGCUCAACCGUGGAACUGCUUGGCAUACUGGCGGUCUUGAGCCACUUAGGGGCUACCGGAACAAACGGUGGAGCGGUGAAAUGCGUAGAUAUCGUGUGGAACGCCAAUGGUGAAAACAGGUAGCUGGGAAUGUGCUGACGCUGAGACACGAAAGCCAGGGGAGCGAACGGG